AAGAGAGACUUCUCUUCAGGGAACAGCCUCAUUCCAGGUUUCUCCAUUGUUGCCUCUCACUGGGGGCAUAAGAUGUGUGGGACCAAGGGGACAAGCCCCCAAGAACCCAAGCCCCCAGAAUUAUCUGCCCAAAUGGCACCGAGCUCCCAUCCAAGCCCUUCCGGAGUCUACACUCCCACGUGUAUUUACCACUGGGCCCCGUGCGUGGUGGCCCGGUUGGGUACUGGGAAUACGGAUAGAGCUUGGACAUGUCAUCCGUAGCACCCACAUGCAUGCACUCCAUGAGUGGGGGGCCCCUUAUGAUGCAGGUCAGAGUGGGGCUGGAAACAGAGGAGAAACAGGGCCACGGGCCUCAGGAAGGAGCAUGGAGGAGUGUUGGCUGGCGGCCCAUACCCUCGCUGGAGCUCUGAGGGCUGAGGGUGCUAAUCAAAUCCAUCCUUCUAUCUCGAAUGAAAGCCGGCUUAUCAAAAGAGGAGGGCAGGGCCUAUCCUAAUUAAGCUUCUUCAGUUGAUUUAUAACUUCUGCAGAUAUGGCCGAUAUGCCUCCACCUGUCCUCUUGCUCCAGUCCCAAACACACGAGGGAGAAUCAGACCCGCAGCCCUUGGGGCUCAGCUCAGAGGGGCUCGUGCUGCACAUCCUCUGAUCCCCCUGGGAGCUCUCAGGACCUUGUCUUGUUCUGCAGCUAAGCCUUGAAGGAACUGGGUCUUACGAGCCAUCGUGGUUCUUGGCUCACCCCUCAAGGUUCACCUUCACUAAGUCAAGCAAAUAGCCAGACUUGUAUAACUGUUGCUUGUCAGCUCAGAGAGCGGUGGAACAAAAGAAGUCGAGAUCAUCUCCAGGGGGUCUGCCUGGAUAGAGCAAGAAAGGCUAAACAGACAACUCUAGCACAGUUCACCUCUGCGUGACCUUGACUCCAAUCCCAGAUGCUUAAAUCCCAAAUUCACUCUCAAUCCUGAUGGAAGCCACACCAACCGUUUACUUUUAUUUUCCAGUUUUCUCCUGUGUAAACGUCUAAUAUUUAUUCGGAGAUUAUCUAUUAACACGUGUUACUAAUUUAUCAUUUGCCUUAAGGAUCUUGGGUGGCUCCUUUCAGCAAAUAUUUGACGACCUCGGGAUACAGCAGGAAAUACAACAGUGAACAAGAAAGGCUUAUCUUUACCUUUGAGAAACUCACAGGCUGGCAGGGACAAGCACAUCGAACAGGCACACGUAAGGAAUUCCGCAAGUCAUUGAUUGCAAUUCUCACAGGUGUUUCAGAAGAAAGUAUGGGAGCCCAAAGGGGCGCUAAGAGGGGACAGAUCGAGCGUCCCUGAGGCCAUGGGACUUAAGCCGAGGGACAUGAAGCAGCACCAGCCAAAGGCAAGCCUUCGAGAGGAAAACCCUGGGCCUCGAGGAGGGAAGGAACCCGGCACAGUGGAGGAACA
rnacentral:lncRNA from 1 species